rnacentral:lncRNA from 1 species
UGAUCCUGGCAGGGGGUAGAGCCCUGCGUGGGUACAAAACACGUGUAUCCGCAUCCGAGCCGCAAAAAUGGCCUGUGGAUUUGCAGGGCUCUGCUUACCUUGGCCGGGCUGCGGCUCCGAAACACACCCCUGGGUCCCUCCACCUGCCCUGGGCUGGGGGUCGGGGGCUGCUCGGGCCCUCCCGCCUAGGACAGGUGGAGGGUCUGCACACGAUUAUCCUCAACCUGCCCGCCUGGCUCUUACCGUCAGAGCCCUGCGCGGAUAUAAAGCGGAUGCCCCCGGGGAUUUGCAGGGCUCUACAGCUGGGAAAACUUCAAGAUCUCGCCUGGUAUCUGUGCGUGGGCUGGGACGGAGCCGUGAGAUGCUGGAACCACUGAAGCAUGAGCCUGGCAUUGCUCACUUGCUUUCCCCGCAGGAUGAGGAGCUGGUGCCCCUGUCCUGGAGAUUGCCUGCUUUCACCCGCGGCGGAGUCCGGCAGGCGAGUGCGAGAUGUUGCUCUACUCAGCCCAUAAGCAGGAGUGACCGUCUGUUGCAGAGCAGGCAGGGCCCGUCUGGAGGCGCCCUUCAGAACCAGAGCAGUUGCUGAGAUCUCUGGCCUGCUGGAUGGAAUGAAGUAGGCACACAGCAGCUAUCCUGCAAGAUCAAAGUGGAACAUAGAGCCAAGAAACUUCAGCUGGGACUGGACUGUUCCCUCCAACUUUCAGUCCCUCUUAAAAGCGACGUUUCUGCUUACCAAAGAGAACGCUGUCCUGCAUAGAAAAUCUCUGUUCCUCUUCCCUUCUCUCUGUCUGCAAGCUCCACGGGGCAGGGGCCUAUACCUUCUCUUGCAUAUGAAAAUCACCUAGUACUACUCUCCCAUCAUGGGAAAUUGUUUACAGGUUCAACUGCAUCUGUAGAAAUACACAACACAAGGACUGUCCUUUCCAGAGUUUGCGUUCUUAGUAAAAACUCCCCUGUAUAGGGAAUCUGGAAAUAAAACAUCAGGAAAUAAUAAAUGCA